AGCAGCCGCGGUAAUUCCAGCUCCAAUAGCGUAUAUUAAAGUUGUUGCAGUUAAAAGCUCGUAGUUGAAUUUCGGGAUUCAUCCGUUGGUCGGGCUUCACGGUCCGUACUGGUGUGAUGGGUUCCUACCUUCUGAAUAACCGGCAUGCCAUUAAUUUGGUGCGCCGGGGAAGCAGAACUAUUACCUUGAAAAAUUAGAGUGCUUAAAGCAGGCAAGUGCCUGAAUAGGUUAGCAUGGAAUAAUAAAAUAGGACGGCAUGGUUCUAUUUUGUUGGUUUCUAGGAUCACCGUAAUGAUUAAUAGGGAUAGUUGGGGGCAUUAGUAUUCAAUUGUCAGAGGUGAAAUUCUUGGAUUUAUUGAAGACUAACUUCUGCGAAAGCAUUUGCCAAGGAUGUUUUCAUUAAUCAAGAACGAAAGUUAGGGGAUCGAAGACGAUCAGAUACCGUCGUAGUCUUAACCAUAAACUAUGCCGACUAGGGAUCGGACGAUGUUAAUUUUUUAAUGACUCGUUCGGCGCCUUACGGGAAACCAAAGUGUUUGGG
rnacentral:rRNA from 1 species